GUGCUCACUGCAGCAGCACAUAUACUAAAAUUGAAAUGAUACAGAAAAGGUUAUCAUGGCCCCUGCACAAGGAUGAUAUGCAAAUUCAUAAAUUGUUCCAUAGUUUU